rnacentral:lncRNA from 1 species
AGUUACAUGUAACGAUCCACAGGUUAGAAGUUGUGGUAAUGCGAGUAUAUACAUUGAUGUAGGAGACAAUACUGUAGGCGCUGAGGCACAUCUAUCCUGCUCGAAUGGAUAUACCCUAUGGGGGAAUGAUUCUAUUGUAUGUUUAGACUCGGGGCAGUGGAGUCAGCAAAAUGCAUAUUGUAAGAAAUGUAUCUUCAUAUUUUUUAUACAUAUUUAACAAGUGUUUUGGCAUUCGACAUUAUUAGGUUUUAAAUGAAGCAAUAGAAGGCCACCGAUGGGUCCUUAACAAAGAAAGAAAACUUCCCAAUCAGCUGUGCCCUAAGCAAACUCGUUUCAAGUACGUACUUUCAUAUUUUGCUCUUAUGAAAUUAUUGUUUACCACAAUUCAAGAUAAAAGGAGAGGUGACAAAGGUAAUUCAGUCGUUUGUGUUGUUGUAUAUAAUUUAUUAUUCGUUUAUUAUUUUGUACAUAAAUAAAUUUUCUUAUUUGAAAUGUUCAUCAUUUGUCAUUUUUGGGCCUUGCAUAGUUAGCAAUCGUAUAUUAAAGACAAAUAUUUUCCUUUAAUUCAAACUUACAAAAUAUGAUGCCCACAAAAAAAAAAUAGAAUUUGAUCUGCACUUGGUUUAUAUUUCCUAUCAGAAAUGAAGCAGAUCAUCUUGUGUUUUCAUUUAUUUUUGUAUCACAAAUACUCUGAUUCUACUUUUUUCAAGGUAUUCCUGAUAACAUCGGGGAGCCAAAUAUCCAGUCAUUCGAUGGGUCUUUAUACUUAUUUAACAAUUUUACUAAGAGUAAUUAUAGUCAAGCAAAGGUAAUCAUUGUUAUAUAGUGUAAUAGGAAAUUUGAUAUAACAUGUAUCUGUUUUCUACGAUAUAAAAAGAAGAUGUGGUAUGAUUGCCAAUGAGACAACUGUCUACAAGAGUCCAAAAUGACACAAACAUUAAUAAUUAUAGGUCACCGUACGGCCUUCAACAAUGAGCAAAGCCCAUAUCGCAUAUUAAGUUAUAAAAGGCCCCGAUAUGACAAUGUAAACAUUUUACAAAACAAAGAAACUUAUUUAACAAUUUUACUAAGAGUAAUUAUAGUCAAGCAAAGUUAAUCAUUGUUAUUAUACUGUAAGCGAUAAAUUGUUAUAACACGUGUAUGUUUCUAUGAGUACAUUUUACAAAACAAAGAAACAUGUUUAACCAUCCAAUAUUUCAUUGGAAAAUUAAAGGUAAAGAUACAGUUAUUAAAUGGCCGUCAAACCAUCAAUUAAAGAAAAAGCAGUCAUUCAAUGUGCACAAACGUCACCGUUUUUGUUAUUUGCUCUUGGUUCAAAGGGAUUUUAAGCUAUCGGUAAUUCGGGAUUGCAAGUUUCUACUAAACAAGUUGGUUGUGUAUUGCUGUCAUUCGAGAUAUGCUUGAUAAAUAUCUUGAAUGGUUUGUUACUUUAUUCGAAUGAGGCCGACUUCAUACAAGUAACAUAUUUUAACUGUAAAAUAUAUAAAAGUAGAUGUGGUUAAUUGUCAAUGAGACAACUCUCCACAAGAGACCAAUAUGACAAAGAAAUUAACAACUAUAGGUCACUGUACGGCCUUUAACAGUGAGCAAAGCCCAUACCGCAUAGUCAGUCAUAAUAGCUACAUAUGACACUGAUUAAUUUCUAAUCAGAAUACAUUCAUGAAAGAAGAUUGUACUAUAUGUAUUGUUUUUGUCUAAAUGCUAUGAUUUAUAUAACGUUUUAUACAUUAUUGAAGGAAUACUGUACCAACAUUGGCUCAACACUCAUCGAAAUAAACAACCAGGAGGAAGACCAGUUUCUUUUAGAGACUAUGAUUAACUUAGAAAUAGGUAAGCAUAUUCUACAAUUCGCCUUUUCAGAAACUAGAGGACUAUGGGUAUUCUCAUUGUUCGUACACCAAAAUGAAAAUAACGUUACGUCAUUGGUUUAAUUUCAAUUGUUUAGAACGUUUUUGACCAAUCACAACGUUUAGGUGUACGCGUUUAAAUAUAUUACCAAGAAUGCAUUAGAUUCUGAAACGGCGAAUUAUAACGUGCUUUUUUAUCAAUCUCCCAUAAAGAGUUAUCGGUCCUUGCUCUCUCUCUCUCUUAAGGACCGAUAACUCUGCAGAGAUUGCUUUUCGAUAUUAGUUCGGUUAUGAGGGUGGUAAAGGGCUAUUUUCGUUUUGUCAAUUUUAUUUUACGGGCAGUCGUGAACAAGGUUCGUUAUUCACCGUGUUUUGUAAAAUCGGUAAAAAACUUCAACUUGCAAGACAUUUGUAAUCGUGCGUUCAUCGUGAAAUGGCAAUUUUAAUUUGCGUUCUUCCGUGCAGAAGCCCUAUUUUUACGCUCGGUUAUGAUUUUUGACAGAAAAAUUGGUCAACACAAUACUAUUUCUAGUAUCUUCUUAGUAUAAAACACUUAUACUCAGUGAGUUUAAACAAAAUUAGAUCAUCCUCUUGAAAUAAGACAAUAUGUUUAAGUAAGUUUGCAAAUCAUGUGUAGUAUUUUAUAAAUCCGUAAAUAAUUAUUUUGCUCACAUAUGUCUAUUUUAUCCUUUACCUUGAAUGUGGAGACCUCAAAAUGAAUCGAAAUCGUCCUUUUUUUAUUUAUUUCCCUCGGUUUUAGUUUGUAACCCGAGUUUUUUUUUCUCAAUCGAUGUAUGAAUUUCGAACAGCGGUAUACUACUGUCACCUUAAUUUAUAUGUUACCAUACAUUCAAGUAUGAUAUAACGUGAGGUUGAACAACCGGACACAACUAAGCUGCACUUAUUCGGGCUAUUUAUUGUACUUUUUACCAUGACCUUUUAGUAUGUAGUGACCUUAAUACCAAUAAGGAUCUCCUUCUCUUUAUUGUAUUGAAGAACAGUUGAAAUCCGAAAUUUCUUAGGUAGCAUUCACAUAAGAACAUGUUUGAUGGACGAUCUAAAAGCUUACUUUGUAGUAUGUAUAUUAUACCGAAAAGCAACAUCGUCCUGCAAAUGGCAACUUAUUUGGUAAUCCUGAUUGUCCCACUCUUCUUUUUCAAUUCAUACAAUAUACUUAACAUGACUUGAUGGGAAACGUUUAAUUUAAAACAAAUGGAAAUGAAAAGAUAUCAUAUCUUAUUUUGAAACAUCCCACUAUUUUUAACAUGAAUUGUAAUAUGGUAAAUAUAUACCCAGUAAAUAGAUGAUACUUUUAUUCAAUUUUUGUUUAUAUAGAUUUUUUGUGGAUAGGAUUAGAGUCAGUUAAUGGUGGAAAUUAUAGUUGGCCCUCAGGUAAUACAACACAGACAAACCAGUAUGAAAACUGGUUUGACAAUCUACCACAAAGCGUAAUAGAUAACCCCGCAGCAGGAACUUGUGUACAGGCAUUCCCGUUUUAUGAUUUUUGGUUACCAAACCUUAAAAAUUCAUGCGAUACCAAACUGGACGACUUCGUCUGUGAAUUGAGGUGAAUAUUUUACCUUUACUUCCUUUAUUUGAUAAUAUUAUUGGAAAUUGUGCACAUCAAGCAAAGCAUAGAAACAAAUAAAUUUGAACAGUAGAUUAAACAUAAACAUGUAUGCGGGUUAAAUUCUAAAUAUCUGGAAUUUUAAAUUCAUAUCAUAAAUUAACAGAGCAAUACUUAAGAUACAUAUUAAGCUAAAACAUUAACCAAUCAUGGAUCUCCUUUUUGGUAAAUUGGAUAAUUUUUUUAGGUUGCGGUAAUAUGCUGACUCGGACUUCACCUUAUAUUUGUUAUUGACAUUGUUUGAGCUUUAAAUCGGAAGGAAAAAAUACACUUUGGUAAUGGCCUUUUAUGAGCAGUUGGAGUCUUCUAUGAAAAUGUGAUUGGCAUUGGCAACAUUUUCACGUUGUAUCGUAUGGGACAGAUUUCAUUCAUAAAAAGUAUAAUAAGUCUGAGAUAAGUGAAUAUCAAAUUGGUCUUGUUAUAUAAAAAUAAAAAGAUAAAUAUUCUCAACAACGAAGCAAGCAUGCAAAUAAAUACACACGACUUCAGUUUUUAAAAAUUCUGCUGCAUUUUUCAUUGCUGCGGUCAAAUGUGUUUUUUAGAAGGUCAAAUAUAAAACAUAAAAAAAAUCAUGCUGCAGAAAAAUUAUAAAAUUUUGACUCAUUUCAUAUUACCAAAUUUAGAAAUAAAUCUAUAAUCCUCAUUAACGAUUUUCUUUAUUAUAGGAUCAACUGAUGUCAAGAACGAAGCGGAAAACAGUGUAGUACAUGCGCUAGUUGUUAAAUUAAAAUAUAACAAAAUCCAUUAUGUUAUUGUUUUACAUCUCCAUUCAUGAAUAUGAAGUUACAGGCAUGCCUUAAAUAUUUAUGGACAUCUCCUGAAACAUGAUGUUAAAGAUCACAAAUUCGCUUCAAUAUAAACACGACGCAGAUCGUGCUUUAAAAUGUUCCUGUAUUUUCUAGGUGCUUAAUAACAACAUGAAUAAAGAGUAAUAAUUUAAUAAUCGACUUUUGAUGAGGUUAAUAAUUGAGGUUGAUACUAGGAUUUAUCAACCCUAAUAUAAAGAUAUGAUAGUCACAGAUAUGAAAGAGAAUUUAUCGAUCUAAGAGGGGCGUUGGCCUUGAUGAAUAUCAUAUAUCUGAUAUAAAGAUAUAAUAUUCACAGAUAUGAUAGAGAAUUUAUCGAUCUAAGAGGGCCGUUGGCCUUGAUGAAUAUCAUAUAUCUGAGGUUGAUGAUUUAUUGCAUCAACUGAUAUUAAAAGUUAACAAUUAUUAUAUAUUAUGUGACUUGUAAUCCUUCUCCAAUUUUCCAGUAUUUUGUCAAGAUACUUUCAAAACUGCUCUUUGUAUUAUCUAAAUUGAUCUUUUUCUUUUUUCAAUUUCACAUUUUUGAAAGUUGAAAUGUUCCAUAAAGAUCAGUUGAAUGAAAAUACACCGAAAACAUAAACAGAGAUAUACAUUUGGACCGAAAAAAGGAAGAAAAAACGAAAAUCAGCAAGACUUCAUAAACCUUGUCAUUGAAGUUGCCAUAAAAUAUUUAAGUUUUAACUGUUUGAAAUUUUAUACGAAUGAAUGAAUACAUAGUUUAUUAUAAUAUACAAUAUAAUGUACAUUGAGUACUAACACAAUGAUUCAGCCAGCCAAAAAGGCUUAUGAUGCACUCCCAUUGUUAACUUUAAAUUAAACAGAUAUAAAAAAUGAGGUCAAAUUAUAGUAUUUAAAAAUGUAGACAUAUUGCACCUGUUCUAAGUCAGGAAUCUGAUGUACAGUAGUUGUCGUUUGUUUAUGUAAUUUAUACGUGUUUCCAGUUUCUCGUUUUUAUAUAGAUUAGACUGUUGGUUUUCCCGUUUGAAUGGUUUUACACUAGUAAUUUUGGGGGCCCUUUGUAGCUUAUUGUUCGAUGAGCCAAGGCUCCGUGUUGAAGGCCGUACCUUGACCUAUAAUGGUUUACUUUUAUAUAUUGUUACUUGGAUGGAGAGUUGUCUCAUUGGCACUCAUACCACAUCUUCCCAUAUCUAUAUGUAUUUAAUAUUUACAAUAGACAUAUCAAACAGUUGUAUAUAUUUACGUCUUAUGUUGGAGCAUGCUAAAAUAAAGCUUGUUACAAGUUUGAUAUUGGCAUUAAGGAGAACUGUAAUGGAUUCGUUUGCAGAUAUGUCAUCCAUAUUUACUCGGUGCAUACUAGAUGGUGACUAUCAUUACAAUGUGUUUACUGCAUCAGUAUAACUGUCACAAUAGUUGAGGAAAUGUCUUUCAUCUUCAAUCGAACAUGAGUUACACAAUUUAUAUAAACGUAGAUUAAUUGGAAUGUUUCUUUCUCGAACUCUAUUGAAAUUUAUCCCUUUCCGAACAUAUUGAGUAAAAAGAAAUCAACGUGUUGUUAUCGGUGAUCUAAAAAGAUCAUUGGAUAAUUUAAAGGGUCAUAACCUUUUUAGAUAACUAGAAUAAUCAUAUUAUGCCGACAGGCGUUAAUGAAAUUGACAACUUCGUGGAAUGUGAAAGGCACUCGAAGGGGAUUUUGGUUAAACAAAAAAGCAAAUAAGUAACAGAUUAUUACAAAGUUACUCGCGUGUUGUUGGAUUUAUGCAAUCUCAAUAUGAUAAAUCCGAUAAUCCAUUGGUAUCAAUGUAAGAAUCUUUAAGUAAUGACCUUGUUCAAUCUAUAGCGGAAACGUUCUUGAGCGAAUUCUUGCAUUUGCCGAACGUUUUACCCUUGUAAAUAUCUUUUUACAUUUGGUUCCGUUUAAAAUUCAGACGUAUGCGUUAUAAGUUUUGUCAUUGUACGCACUUCGUUAAUUCAUCGAUCUUUUACGUUAUCUAUUUACUUUUCACUUUUUCUAAAACUAGUUUGGGGAAACGUUAUCUCCACUGUAGGUAAUAAAAUGCUUAAGAUUAAUACAAGUGUUUAGAAUUGUCUUAUUAUUGUUAAACAGGUAUUUCUGUAGCAUGUAGAGGUGCCAAUGUCCCAACACAAUACUUAACGAUAAAGUUUAUUGUCUGGCAUCUUCAUGAGACGUAUCGAAUACACGGCGUAUAAAUAUAUACAGAGAGCCAACCCAUAUAGCCUUAGACAGCUGAAAUCGGUGCACUUUUGCUAAUGCAAAGAAAUGUCCUUAUAGCUAUGUAUUGUCGUCUCUUAAGUGAGUCAUAGUGUUUGAUGCAUAGCUGAGAUGAACGUGUUGUUAUAUAUCUUUGUGUAUAUUAAGAAUAUAAAAAAGACGAUGUGGUAUGAUUGUCAAAAAGACAUCUCUCCACGAGAGACCAAAUUACACAGAUAUUAACCACUAGAAACCACCGUACAGCCUUCAACUAUGAGCUUAACCCAUAUUGCAUAGUCAACCAUAAAAGUCCUCAUGAGGAUAAAAGUAAAAUAAUUUAAAACUUAAGGCCUAAUUAAUAUACCAAAAAAUGAACAAAAAAAAUAUAUAACACAGAACAAACGGCAACCAUCGAGUCACAGGCUCCUGACUUAGUACAUGCACAUACAUACAGAAUGUGUGCGUUUGUGUGUGCGGGGGGUAUCAUGUAAGCGAAUACCAACCCUACCCCCCCCCCCCAAACCGGGACAGUGGUGUAACAAUACAACAAGAACGAACUAUAAAAAUAAGUUGAAAAUGGCUAAAUCAUCAGAUGGAUACAAAUAGAAAUACUGCACAGAGUGGACGUGGCCGGGUGCAUGUAUAUCUUUACUUAACGAAUUUCUUUUGAAUUAAACGUUAAAUUUUUACUGAAAUUUUUACUUAAAUUUAUACUGAAGCAUUCAUGAGUAUAUAUUUCAUAAUUGUAUGUACAUAUUUAAUGAGUUUUAAAUCAUGUAAUUCAUACCUUUUUAUUAAAAAAAAAAAACAUUUUCCUUCAGUAUAACUGUUAUAGCUUUUAUUUGUAUAUACAGUGUCUCGUAAAGUCUUUAUAAGGUGGGUAUUGAUCCUUUUUGACGAGCCUUCGACUUUAGUCGAAAAAGCGAGACUAAGCGAUCCUGCAUUCCGUCGUCGUCGGUGUCGUCGGCGGCGGCGUCCACAAAUAUUCACUCUGGUUAUAUUUUUUUAAAUUUUAAUAACUUUCUUAAACUCUCCUGGAUUUCUACCAAUCUUGGACAGAAGCUUGUUUAUGAUCAUAAGAUAGUAUCCAGAAGUAAAUUUUGUAAAAAAAAAAUCCAUUUUUUCUGUAUUUUACUGAUAAAUGGACUUAGUUUUUCCGCGCGGAAACAUUACAGUCACUCUGUGGUUAAAGUUUUUCUCAUUUUAAUAACUUUCUUAAACUAUCCUGGGUUUGUACCAAAUUUUAAUAACUUUCUUAUACUAUUUUUAAUUUGUACUAAACUUGGACAGAAGCUUGUUUAUUAUCAAAAGCUAGUAUCUAGAGGGAAAUUUAGUUAAUAUUUUGUACCUGUGUAUCUGUAUUUUACUUAUAAAUGGACUUAGUUUUACUUCCAGUUAAAAUUACAUACAGUCUGCAGUUAAAGUUUUUAAAUCAUUGAUUAGAUUCAUAAACUAUCCUGGAUUUUAACCAAACUUGGAAAGAAGCUUUUUACAAUCAAAAGAUAGUAUCAAGAGGAAUAUUUUUAAUGAUUUUUUUCCUCAUUUUUGUUGAGCCUGCGAUUUACAGCAAAGGUAGGCAAGUCAAUGGGAUCCGCGGAACCCUUAAGAUUGUUUUAUGAUGUUGUUAUGUAUUUUAAUGUAGAUCAAUAUGUGACACUUUAAUAAACUAUUAUUUAUCUUUAUCGCAUCUUAUCAUAUCUAUAUGCAAAACACAAAGAGACGCUAAGUACAGAUACGAGAGUUCUCGCAGUUACUGACAGCUAGUUCAAAGACACUAGCAACUAAUAAAAAAGCUUGCAUCUAAGACUUAAAUACCAAUCAGUACACAUCCAACAUCUAACGGAUUAAGUGUAAAGACGUCUUAAACAGUCGGAGAGAAAACAUGACCUUAUGCAAUCCCAAAAUACAGAUCCAUGAAUGUGUACAUGUAUAUAACAAUAAUGUUCACUUUGCUUUUAAUUUACUGUUAACAAAAAUCAAAAUUCAUACCAAUAAAACAAAAACAAUAUUUAUUGAUCCAAUUAUAGUGUUGAUAACGUUUGAUACCUAUUAACAACGCUUGGUCGAUGCCACUGCUGAUGGAUGUUUCGUCCCCGAGGGUAUCACUAGCUCAGUAGUCACUUCCGUGUUGACAUGCAUUUCCUUGCACGGAUAACAACAUUCUGUAAAACUGAGAGUGUGCUAUCCCAUUUCAAGUAAGGGUUCCACAGGCACAACCAAAUUUCGAAUCCGAAAUCCAUAUUUCUCAUAUGCAAGAAUUUGGAUGUUAACGAUAGUAAGGAUCUGCUAGCUGCCAAUGACAUUGUAUUAUCAGAAACCUUAAAGUCAAUGUUUUUAGAUAGUGUAACGAAUAAAUAAUGGUACUUUUCUCUAUUGGCAGAUACCUUACGAACAUGCAUGGUUUUUUUUAAUGUACAUGUUCAUAAGAUUUCUCUUUGUUCAAUCAUGUAAAACGUUGAGUACGAAUUGAGAACGACGUGCGUACAGUAGACACUAUUUAUGUCGUUUCCUGUGACAGACCUUUCAAAAUGGCAAUAAAUCGUCAAUGAAUAACCGAAACAACAUAGGUGUAAUAAUGUCUUCGUGGCGUACACCGAAAACCAGUCUGUAAACAUCAUUAGUCAAAGUCCAAUGGGUGCUGUAAACAGUUUCGUAUAAAAAGCUAGGGGUUAUUCCCCGACUGAAAAUUACCAUGGAGGACAAUCCCUUUUCAUUCACGUAAUUAGAGAAAAAUUAUCAUAUUUUUAGUAUUUGAGUGUAAAAUAAGUUAAUUAGCUUUUCAUUUAAAAAGGUUGAAGGAUUAAAAUAAUUUUUUAAAGUAUAUUAAAUAUACAUGUUUUAAGGGGAGACAAUACUGUAAACAUCCUGGAUUUUUUGGCAGUGAAAAUUGAAAACUUAUUUGCAGCCACUGUAGCUCUUUUCGAAGCAGGAAAUUUAAAUGGUACCCUGAAACGAGAUUUGCUUGAAAGGCCAGGUGAAAACAUGAAUUUCAUACAGGUUUGAUUAUGUGAAAUGUGCCUGUACCAUGUCUUAAUGUGUAUGCACAUGAUCUGACUUCAGGUUUUUUAUGUUCACUUUAGACAAUUUUCCCCCAUUUCUCUGGAUAGAACUUUUUGUAUUAUAUUAAAAGUACACUUUAUCUUAUUUCAUUAUAAACUAAUGAAAAUUCUGAUACAGUGAUAUAUAGUUUUAUACAAAUAUCUUUAUUCACCAUUCCACCACUAAGGGUCACUUAUGCAUGGUAUGCAUGGUCCCUCAAAAUAUGACGUCAUGGAAAAAAAACUGUGGCCAGUAGCACUUUUUAAAUUUGAAAAAAAAACAUUUUAUAACUUUGAACAUGUUACCCUGAAUUCUCACACAAACAGUGUGUUUGAUAACGCAGCAUGGACUCCUGAAUAAAAUGCCUUGCUAAAGUCAACAAAACACUAGUCUUGUUUUGUUUUUUUUAUUAUAUAUUUCGGAGUUUAUUAUGACGUCCAUUAUCAAUGAACUAAUAUACAUUUCUGAUUUUGGGUCAGCUGAAGCACGCCUCCGAGUGUGGGAAUUUCUCGCUCGCUGCAAUGAAGACCCAUUUGGUGGCCUUUGAUUGGGUUGUUGUCUAUUUGAAAUAUUCCCCAUUUCCAUUCGCAAUUUUAUAUAUUAACCUCUUUUGACUUUACUUGAGAUAAAUUUAAUGUUUUAUACAAGAAGACUAAGUAUGCUUUUAGUCAAUGUGAAAAGAGAUUUUUUUCAGUGAUAUAAUAAAACCUUUUAUUAAAUAAGAUUAAACCUUUAUAUAAAUGCAUGUGUAAUAUUUUGAAUUCAAACACUCAAAUGCUUCAAUAAAACAUAUGCAUGAUAUCAUAAUAAAACAAUAUAAAUAUGAUAAACAAUAACAAACCAUUUUAAAAAGUCCCCAAUUACGGUAGAAAAAUCAAUAAAAAAAAAUCAAAAUUUUCGGGAAAAUUUCCCGAAAUUUUCAUUCUACUAAUGAACUCAAAAUCGUUAACUUUUUUUUUCAGAUCUACUUCCGUUUUCGGUCUUCUUCCGUUUCCGGUCUUGUUUGCAUGAGACUUUGAAUAAAAUGUAUAUAUAUCAACAUAUCAACAAAUAUAGGAAGGAAUUCAACACCCAAUCACUUUUAAUAAUUGUUUGAUAUGAAAAGAAACGUUACCUGGAUAACAGCGUUUCUUUGUUUACAUUGAAUAUGACGUCAUAACUUAAAUAACGUCACAACUAAAUCCCUGACAACAGAACCAUUAUAGGAAACGUUACGGUAUUUCCGUUUCUUUUAUCAACAUGUAUGAAUUAAAAAAAUAAUAAGACAGACUUCGUCCCCAUUCACAGGUAAUGCCUGCCUCAUAUUAAUUAAUUCAAAGCUAUGAAAUAAGAACUAUCAAUAUUUCAAAGGUUAUCGUGUUUAUUGAAAAAUCACAAUACAAACUGUGUAUACUAUGUGUAUUGUCUUACAUGAUCGAUUCAAACUGUGUAUACUAUGUGUAUUGUCUUACAUGAUCAAUACAAACUGUGUAUACUAUGUGUAUUGUCUUACAUGAUCAAUACAAACUGUGUAUACUAUGUGUAUUGUCUUACAUGCUCAAUACAAACUGUGUAUACUAUGUGUAUUGUCUUACAUGAUCGAUUCAACACAAGUUUAUUUCAACUUACUAUUAUAUACAUAUAUUUACAAGAUAAAACGUUCAUUACCUUUUAUCUCUGUCUGUUUUGUAAACACAUCUUUGUCAAUGUUAUGAAACUUGAUCUACUGUCAUCGAAUUGAGUGGCUAUACGACAAGUUUCAACCAGCCUUUUUUUCUUAAAAUGUCCUGUAACAAGUCAGCAAAAUGUCAGUUGUUAUCGUAUAAUUCCUUUCUGUGUCUUGCACUGUUGAUUGUUUAUUGUUGCACUUCAGUGUUUCUGUUUCGCUGUUUUCCUCUUAUAGUUGGUGUAUUUCCUCCGGUUUUAAUUUGUGACGCGGAUUUGUGUUCUCUCAAUCGAUUUAUGACUUUCGAACAGCGGUAUACUCAUGUUGCCUUCAUUCAUUACCGAAUCGUGUUUGAUAGUAAAUAUUCUGUUUUCACAAGCGAUUUAAUGUGAUGAACAUAAUAAUGGACCUAUAUAGCAGUUAUUAACAUGUACUUGUACAUCAUGGAUUGCGAUCUGAUAUAAAAGUGUAUUGAGACCAACACGAUGAAUGUUUGGUCUGCAUGUCUCAUUUGGAGAGUGCCUGGUGCAGAUAUUUAUAAAGUAAAGUGAUUAUGCAACAAACAGGUAAUCAAAUUCAAACUGAAAAUAAAAUUGCGAGCGUUUUGUUUAGUCUCAAGGGUUGAUUGAGGUAUAAUAAUAUGAGAACAUUGGACUUUGACAAACUAAAAUCAGUAAUAUAAGAUAUAUAUAUAAACACAUAUACUUUAUCAAUGUAUUGCGAAAGCAGUAAUAAAUACAAUGUGGGCGAUGCGACAAAGUAAAACACAUGCUGUUAUCAAAAGCAUAACAACCAGUUACAAAUAAGUGAUUGCCAUUCAUUAGAUAUUCGCCCGUACCAGAAGCCAAAUAUUUUAAAAUUUGCUUUCAUUUUUAAAGAGCAUAGCAGCAUAUUCAUAAAGAAAAUUAUAUACUUGACAACCUUUAAACACUGCUUAAGCGUAAAAUAUUGAAAUAUUGGUAAAUCACUGAAAUAUUGGUAAAACUAGUGUAUCCGGCAUAAAACAUUUGGAAACAGCACUUGAUUAUUUUUUUUUUCAAUGAGAAAGACUUUGUGAUCUAAUAAAGAAAAUAUGCCAUGUAUGGCAUACUUUCGACUUUGUUGGCAAAUACGAAAUAUCUUUCUUUUUUUAUCAAUUUUUGUUUUUACUCUGGUAAGUGGAGUCAACUUAAUUCAUAUUGUAAGAAACUAAAUCAUAUAUUUUUUUAUAUAUAUGUGUUUAACAAGUGUUUUGAUUUUCUUGCAAGUCCCUAAUCAAAAGUGUGAUAUUCAUAAUCAUGGUAUUUUGAUAUAAGUUCUAAAAACGAUAUUGAUCUGUGUGCUGUUCUUUACCAGGCUUACAUCCGAUAUUACCCAGUUAUUUUGAAACAAAUGGCAAAUACGGAACUCAGAAAUAAUUCAUGGGGGCUUGAAUAUAUCGUGAUUUUACCUCGGGUUGGCCCUUUAUGUAAAAUAUUUUACCCUGAACGAUAGAAGGAUAAAACGUUCAUUAUCGAUUCGGGUUUAAAUUGUAAAUAUUCACUUUUCACAAGUGAUUUGAUGUGCUGGACAAAAGAAUGGAGCUUUUAUUUAUAGCAUUUAAUUACUCGUCAAUCUCUGAUUGCAAUCUGUUAAACAAUGUAUUUAGACCAUCACCAUGCAUGUUUGGCCUGCUUUACUCAUUUUGACUGGGGCAGAUAUAACAAUGGAGUAUACAGGCAAUGAAGAUAUAAUCUUUACAUCAGUUUAAUUGAAGUCUGGAGCUGGCAUGCCAGUUAACUGCUACUAGUCUGUUGUUAUUUAUGUAUUAUUGUCAUUUUGUUUAUUUUGUGUUUAACCCCGCUAAAGUUUUGCGCCUGUCCCAAGUCAGGAGCCUAUGGCCUUUGUUAGUCUUAUAUUAUUUUUAAUUUUAGUCUCUUGUGUAUAAUUUAGAGUUUAGUAUUGCGUUCAAUUGGGUGACAAUUGUCAUUUUGCUGACUUGUACAAACAUUUUCUUAUUUAGAAAAAGGGUGUAUUAAACCUGGGUUUGAAGCUACUUUAACCUCGCAUUUGUUUUACAGUCACAUCAAAGUCCAUUAUAUAAAGGAAUGAUUUGAUAUAAAGAUUUUUAAAACAUAUAAGUCCGUGUAUUUGUUUCUUUUGUUUUUGUUUGUUUUUGUUUCUUUUAACUUUAUAAAUUGUAGUAGUUAAAAUUGUUUUUUUUUCUGUUUUUAUUGAAGUUUUAAAGUAAAACAGAUGUUGAAUAGAAUUUUAACAAUGUAUAAUCGGUUUUGAUAAAGUUGAAAAAAGAAUAAUCAUAAUAUGAACUAUUAUUAUCCUAGUCACAAUCUGUAAAGGUAAACCAUUAUAAAUCAAAGUACGAUCUUCAACACGGAUCCUUGACGCACACCAAACAGCAAGCUACAUGUAUAAAGGGCUCCACAAAUACUAUAAUAUUGUAAAACCAUUCAAAUGAGAAAACAAGAAAACCAACAGUAUAAUCUAUAUAAAAAAGCCUAAAAUCAACAUCAACAAACGACAACUUCUGAAACACAGAUUUUUGACUGUAUACAGGUGCAAAAAAAUAGGAGCGGGUUUAAAGUUUUAAAAGGUACUAACCUUCGCUCUUAUCUGAAACAAUAGUGUACUUUCACAAUAUAGAAACAAAAGAGGGACUAGAAAUAAAUUACACAAUGUAAAAUAUCAAUAUGGCUUCUCUCGAUCAAGAGACAUAUUAAUACAGGUGAAUAUACUCUAGGUUCCAAAUCUGAAACCAUUUUCAAUUUUACCUUUCGGUCAUAAUAGUUGACGUAUCUUGUGCAGCUAAAUGAUGUUUGUGUCUAACAAUAUUUAAAUAUUGUAUAAAUUAUAGACUUUAUAAUCAACGAUGAACACAUGUUAAUAUAUUAACAUAAUGAUCAGACAAGUAGUUUUAAACAGUUGUUACAAAAGAACUUCUACAUUGUCUGAAGAUUGACUAGUAAAAUCAUUAAAAGUACAAAGUAGCAACAACAUUUUGCUAACUUAUUAAUUAAAAUCUUUUAUGUAUACAUCUAUCUGUUAGCACGUACACACAUCAGACAACGUAUAUUUCAAGUUUUAAUCUAUCAUUUUUUUCAAACCGGAUGAAAAUAAAAAUACUUUAACAAAAGUAUAACGUUUUAUUCAAACAAAUAUUAUAGAGUGUCGAGGAUGUUUGAAGAAUGACUAACUAAACCACUGAAAGAAAGUAGUAAAUAAAGGCAUCAGUAGUAUACCGCACGUUGAGAUAUAUUUACGAAUGAUGUCCUCUUACCGAUGAUAAUAUUUAGUAAAAUUUAGUUAAUGUUUUUACUAGUUUAUUAUAUCGAAAACCCUGGUGUAUUAUAUUUUCAGUGAUAAAAAAUUUGUUCUCGUUAAAAUCUAAAACGUUGUUACAUACACGAGCGAAUCGUACAAGUUGAGAUAUAUAAACACCGUAAGAUGGUGACAAUGGAACGUCACCAUCUUAAAUGUAUAAUUAACGAUAGGAAGUGAAAAAUCAUCUCUUUUAUCAUACAUAUUUGUAUUAAGCUUUCCGUAUGAUAUUGAUAGCAAGAUCGGGAAAUGGGCAGUAGUCAUUGUUAGUAUUAGCUUUACUCAAAGUAAGUUAAACAGGAUAAAAAAAAAUAGUAUACAUACUGAAGUCUUCAUUACGAUGAUUAUUGAGAACCAACACAUUAUCCAAAUAUCUAAAAGUAUUAUUAAUUUUUUGUAUCAGAUGUUGUUUCGAGGGUUGUUUGCUGAUUUUUGUCAUAAGUUGUACUAAUAUCAAUACAAAAACAGGCCCACAAUAGGUGGUGCACAAUUUGUCCCCAUUGGAAUUCCGAUAACCUGACGAUAUACGGAAUCUCCAAAGCGAACAAAAAUGUUAUCUAGUAAAAAUUCAAGGUCAGAUAUAGUAUCAAAGCAUGUCCAAUUGACUAAGUUAUUUUGAUUAUUGCUACUAAAAAUGACAUAAAAGAGUUUGAACAUAAGUAUUCGCAUUCUGAUUUUUUAAAUGCCCAUUUAAUUAGGUGUGUGAUUUUUUUCUGAAUGAGAAUGUGAGGCAAUGUGGUAUAUAGGGUAGAAAAAUCAAAAUUUGAACAGAUUCAAAAUCACCAAUAUAAGCAUGCAAUUUAUCAAGUACUUCCAACGAGUUCUUAACACUUCAAAAGUAAUUAAUUCCACUAUUUUCGAAGGCCUUAUUUGAACAAUUUAUUAUCAGGUUUUUGAUUGUACAAAGUGUACUGGUCAGAAGAAUAGACAAUUUAGUAGUGGAACAAUGGCUCGAAGACGAAAUAAAUCUAUACUUGUAAGGUGGUUUGUGUAGCUUCGGAAGACUGUACAUAGUUGGGCUAUUUUUUUUCUGUUGGGACACAAGAAAAAAUGUAUGCUUUGUCUUAUUGUUUAUUUUUUUAGAGGAAUUUAAUGUAUUCUUAAGAUAAUACAAUGAGAACUAAGCCAUUCAUUACUUUAUUACAGGGGCAGUAAUAGUUACUAGUUACUUAGGCAUGAAAAUAUUAUGGAAAAAUACUAUGCUGGAUUCAGUAUUAAACAUAAGACAGAGUCAAAAAUAGUGACAAAUCAAAGGGUAAAAGAAAAGAAAACACUCACGUGAAUAAAAAUACCAUGUUAGAAUAGAGCACUAGAAAAAUGGCUGUCUAAGAUUAAUUGUCAGUGCCUUCAUACUGUGCCUAACAUAAACCGGAAUGAUUUUAUAGUGAUAUCAGAUAUGUUCAAAGCGUCGUAAUUACAAUUCCCGUUUUCUUUUCACGAAUGUGACCUACUAAAUUAAACUAUUUACCAGAUUUGUAAUAACAGCAACACGACUGGUGCCACAUGUCAAACAAGAUCUGCUCGUCCUUUCGGAGCACCUGGGAUCACUGCAAGCUUUUCUAUGGUUCGUUUUGCUUAGUCUUUAGUUUUCUAUGUUGUGUUGAGUUUGCCUGACCCUUUUGGUAUUGUUCGCUCCUCCCUUAUACUUUAUAAUUGAAUUAUCAUGCAUAGACCUUUUAAUUUGAUUUUCGAUCUGAUUUAGUAAUGUAACUAUACAAAGAAUUAAACUUUUAUGAGUACUAUUUUUUUAGCUAAUAAUAAUGUUAAUACUUUUGUAUUUAUAUAAUCUGGGAAAAAUGGGAAACAUGUUGAUUAAAUGUAUUUGCCAAGAUGAUUUACCUUCCUAAUCACCACAAACGGUUAAGUUCAGUCACUUUUAAAAGGCAAAAAAAAUAUCCAAUAUCACUCAAACAGACAUUUUUUAUUUCCGCUUAACUAUGACAAGUUAAAUAUAAUUAUAUAAAUAGCAUCAUAAAAUUUAUUGAUCUUUCCGGUGCUUCUCUUUCCGGAUGUAAAUCGAAUUUUACCACACUGUGGACUCAUUAUUAUUCGUUGAAUACUAAUUUUCGAGGAUUUCGUGGCUACCUGGAAAUCUUGAAUUUUAGUUUUUAAGAAGGUAUCCAUGGAAAAAUCAGGCAGUGGAUGGCACAUGACAUAUUUUGUUUUCAAAAUUUUUUCAUCUAUUUCAUAUCACAAAUGCAUUCUUUCUCAAAGUUAAAUUUUUUUUUUAUUAACUGCAACAAAUAAAGAGAAAAAAAAAUACAUAGAGAGCACUGAAAAUUCAUUGAAAAGGGGAGAUAACUUUUCAUUUUGUACAAAAUUUUGUUGCAUUGUUAGUGAACUUUAAAAUCAUUUUCUGAGCCAUCCACUGUUGAUUCAAAAGUGUCGUUAACAUAUAUAUCCUCUGUAUGAUAGAAACAUUGCAUUGGAACCAAAAAUUCAGUGGGGAAAAAAAAUAUGUUGUGCCACCCAUAUCAUAGGAUUUGCCUGAUAUUUAUAUUUUACUUAGACAGCCUCCUAACAAAUUACAAAUGUUAUAUAAAAAUAUAUGCAGACUUUUGGCAUAUCUACAAAAUCAAAUAUCCACGAAAAGGAUAAUUUGUUCAAUAUACAAAAAAUGAUUCCCACUAGAAUAAAUGAAUCCACAGUAUUCAUUUUUGAAACUUUUGUUAAAAUAAAAGUCCGUGUAUUUGUUUCUUUUGUUGUUUUUUUGUUUGUUUCUUUUAACUUAAUAAUUGUAGUAGUUAAAAUUGUUAUUCUGUUUUUAUUGAAGUAAGAGACUAAGUAAAACAGAUGUUGAAUAGAAUGUUAACAUUGUAUAAUCCGUUUUAAUUAACUUGGAAAAAAAUAAUCAUAAUGUGAAAUAUUAUAUCCAAGUCACAAUUUGUAAAAGUAAACCAUCAUAGGUCAAAGUACGGUCUUCAACACUGAGGCUUGGCUCACAUUAAACAGGAAGCUACAUGUAAUAAGGGCUCCAAAAUACUAUUGUAAAACCAUUAAAACGAGAAAACCAACGGUCUAAUCUAUAUGAAAAAGACGAGAAACACUUAUGAACAACAUCAACAUAAACAUCAAAUUUUUGACUGAAUACUGUUGCAAACAUCUGCAGCGGGUUUUAGCGCUUUAAUAAGUACUUACCUUCGCCCUUAUCUGAAACACUAGUGUAGUAUCAUACCAUAGAAAUAAAAGAGGGGCUAAACAUUAAAUACACCAUAUAAGAUAUCAAUUGAAAUGGCUUCUCUCGAUCAAAAGUCAUAUUAAUACAGGGGAAUAUACAAUAUGUCCCGAAUCUAAAACCAUUUCGAAUUUUUACUUUUUUUAUCAUAAUGGUUAACUUAUCUUGUGCACUUUUAGGAUGUUUGUGUUUAACAAUAUCUUUAUAUUGUAUAAAUUAUAGUUCUUAUCUAUCGACUUUCUCAUCAACGAUAAAAAUGAAAAUAUAUUAACAUAAUGAUCAAGUGAUUAUAAACAGUUGUUACAAAAGUCCUCCUACAUUAUCUGAACAUUGAGUAAUAAAAUCAUUAAAAGUACAUAGUAGCAACAACCUUUUGCUAAGUUAAUGAACUUUUAUAUAUAUAUCUAUCUGUUAUCACGUACACAUAUAUAUCUGUUAUCACGUACAUACAUCUAUCUGUUAUCACGUACACAUUUCUAUCUGUUAUCACGUACACACAUCUAUCUGUUAUCACGUACACACAUCUAUCUGUUAUCACGUACACACAUCUACCUGUUAUCACGUACACUUAUCUAUCUGUUAUCACAUACAAACAUCUAUCUGUUAUCACUUACACAUGUAUAUCUGUUAUCACGUACACACAUCUAUCUGUUAUCAUGUACACACAUCUAUUUGUUAUCAGGUACACAUAUCUAUCUGUUAACACGUACACAUGUCUAUCUGUAAACACGUACACACAUCUAUAUGUUAUCACGUACACAUAUCUAUCUGUUAUCACGUACACACAUCCUACAACGGAUAAUAAUAGUUCUAAUCUCUCCCGGAUGAAAAUGAAAUUAAUUGAACAAAAGUAUAAAGUUUUCAUUAAACAAAUGUUAUAGAAGAUCUGUUUGAAAACUAAUUAACUAAUCAGGCAAUUAAUUAAUUAAUUUAAUUAAUCAAUUAAAUAUUCAAAACAUGGCCAAAAAAAAAACACUAAGUAUACUUUCCUAUUUUUAUGUUACCCUCUUCCUGAAUCAGAAAUAAUCAGUCAUUUCUUUCUGAGUGUCUGGUAAUUCUAUGGUUCUCUACAUCACAUUUGGAUAUAGUAAUAGUGUAUUAUGGAGUAAUCUACCCUCGAUUGGCCCUUUUUUGUACAUUUUAAUCAUAUUUUGAAUCAGAUACCGGAAUAGGAACAAGAAAUAAAUGUAAGCUCAAAUAGAUAAAAGAGGGAGGUAAAGGAUUAUUUUCGUGCGACGUGUUUUGCCAUUUUUAUUUCACGUGCAGCCGUGACAAAAAAAAUGUUUGUUAUUCAACGUGUUUCGUGGAACUAGUAUAGAGAUCAACGUGAAGGAAAUUUUUAAUUGUUCAUUCAUCGUGAAAUGGCAAUUUUAUUUCGCGUUUUUCCGUGUAGAUACCCCAUUUGAACCCCUCAUUAAAAAUUGGUUGGUUUUUUGUCUGUUAUGUUUUCAUCACAUAUAUGUGAACAAUAUGCCAUUCAUUUCAAUAUGAUUGAAUAUAACCUAGCAGAAUCGUUGUGUAGAGAAGGUUGAUCAUUACUGUAUACAAUAUAAUUGUACACAUAGUUUGUAGUAUUUUUUUUUUUACAUAUGUUUCAAAUAUUUUUGUGAGUCGAUAUUUAUAGAGGGUUGCUGUUCACAAGGAACCAUUGAACCAAGAGUUCCAAAUGGUGAAGAUGAAAUCAUCCCUUCGUAAAUUUUACGGACGUCAUCGCGAGUUGGUUGACCGUAAUGGAACAGCCGUUUCACAAAUGAUAUCGGCUACGUUCCUUACGUCAUAACUACAAUCCCCUUCCCUUUCAUGAAUGCGACCUACUGAAUUAGACUAUUUACCGAAUUUGUUAUAACAUAAGCAACACGACGGAUGUCACAUGUGGAGUAGGACCUGCUUACCCUUUUUGGAGCACCAGAGAUCACCCCUAGUUUUUGGCGGGGUUUGUGUUGCUUAUUCUUUAGUUUUCUAUGUUGUGUCAUGUGUACUAUUGUUUGUCUGUUUGUCUUUUUCAUUUUUAGCCAUGACGUGUAAAAUGUUGAAAAAUGUACGAAAAAUAAAGGACACCGUAAAUUUGAUUGCACUGUAGAAAUCUGUUCUUUCACUGUACAUGUAUGUUAAACGAUUUUAAUCAAAGUCGAUUCAAUACUGUUCCACUUUAGUGAAGAUAUAGAAAUGUUUUAACGUCAUCAUGUAUCGAGAAGUCAAUCAAAACAAUAGGAUAAAUAGAAAACAAUAUCUCUAGAUAUAUAUAUAUAAAACCGUCGUAUGUUAUGUGCACAUAUAUAUAUAAGAGCCUACUUGUAAAGGUUUCUCACAAAGUGUUUGGAUAAAGCUGUUGUCACACAGAUUGAAAAUUAUGUUCAGAUGCUAUAUACAUUUACUAACACUAGUGCUUAUAGCGUUAACUGUUCAAUUAAUUCAAAGUAAGUAGAUAUAUCUUUUAUUUGUGAAGUCAUAAUAAUACUUGUGUUGUAGGCGUUUAUUGUUCAACAAAUUCAAAGUAAGUUAUGCAUUUUUUAUUUUAAAACGCUAGUGUUAAUUGCGUUUAAUUGUAAAUAUUCAAAGUAGAUAAGUCUUUUAUUUGCUAAUCUAACUAUUGCUAUUCUUAGACACAACAUAUUUUAAAGUUGCUGAGUGUAAUGUUCAAAUUUUAACCCUAAAUAUUUUCAAUUUCUACAUUUACAUCUGCUUCAGUGUUUGUCAAAACUUUUGAUAUAUAUCUUUUUUGUAAAUGAUAUUUUAUGAACUGCGCAACUUAUCUACAUAUAGUUUUACAAAUUUGGAACGUUUGGUGGUGCCCUCUUAUAACAAGGAACAUUCUAUGUUAACUUAAAAAAGAAUUUACAAAAAUAUUAGAAUUCAAUGAAAUCAAUAUAGAAAACUUUUCCAAACUAGCAAGAAUUAAUCUCACUGUUGUGAAGUUCCGAUUCCAAUAAUUAAUUUGCAUAUUUAGAUUGUUUAUUGGUUUAGUGUAUUUUACCUAAAUAAAGUAUUUAAUGCAGGAAGCUAUAUAUGUUCUUGUGAAUGCAUCCCACACUGUCUAUGUGCAACGUCUUUGGCAACAAAAGUUUGACCAUCUGAAUAUUUUACCGAUUAACAAUAUUUACAAAUGAAGGGAACUAUGUCAUACAGUGUACGUCAAACUUAAUGAUAUCUGGACAAAUGUCUUAUUCAUUUCAGGUAAAAGAUGCAAAAAAAGUCAUUCAGACAAACCCAACGAAGGUACGUUACAUUUACCUUACAUCGAGUGUUUAUGUUUAUCGUUAUUUAUCUGUUAUUGUGAAGACUUUUUACUAUACUGUGGCAUAUAGUAAAUUAGGAAAUUUGUCGCACUUUUUAAGCAUAUUAUCAAUUUAUUUGGUGACUUUUUUCCUGUUGAUGUGGUUAUACAAAAUCUGGAAUAUGUAAUUACAAUGUUUAAUUUAUAUACGACUGGCUUCACAAGUAUAUAUAGAUACAUUUAGAAAAGACAGAAAGAGACAAGGGAAUCCACCAUCUUAAAUGGAACGUAUAUCGUCUAUCUGAUGAUAAUUAAAAUAUAUGUAAUGAUUCAUAUUCAAAUUAACGGAUUAGGAUUGCAUUUAACGUUUAUGUUUCUUUUGAAUUACACUGGAUUUUUUAUACAUUUUUUUGUAGUUACAUGUAACGAUCCAGCGAUUAGCAGUUGUGGUAAUGCGAGUGUACUUAUUGAUGUAGGAGGCAAUACUGUAGGCGCAAAAGCACAUUUGUCAUGUUUGAAUGGAUAUACACUAUGGGGAAAAGAUGCUAUUGUAUGUUUAGACUCGGGGAAGUGGAGUCAACUAAAUUCAUAUUGUAAGAAACUAAUCUAUAUUUUUCUUCUAUAAAUAAAAACGAAGACGUGAUAUGAUUGCCAAUGAGACAACUCUCAACAAGAGACCAAAAUGACACAGAAAUUAAAAACUAUAUGUCAAAGUACGGCCUUCAACAAUGAGCAAAGGCCCAUACUGCACAGUAAGCUUUAAAUGGCCCCGAAAUGACAAUGUUAACAUGUUUUUAACAAAGAUUUUGGUUUACUUUCAAGUCUCUCAUCAAAAGUGUUAUUUUUGUAAUCAUGGUAUUUUGAUAUAACUUAUAAAUAAAACGAUAUUACUAUGUGUGCUGUUUUUAACCACGCCAAAGUUUGUAAACACAAAUCGUUUCUCAAAAUGUGGUGUUUAGUCUUAGUGCCACAGUGAAAUUUGAUGUGUGUGUUUAAAAACUGUGCCCCAUUUGUUCGUACGUUUUGAUAGAAAUGUUCUUUUACAAAUUGACAAUCGUUUUCCAGCUUGUUACUACAAUAGAUCAAUGCAUGAUACUUUCUCAAGUAGCUUUCGUUCUGCCCUUGCUGUAAUAUAUUUGAAAAAAAUAAAAUAUGAAGGGGCCUCGGUGACAUGCAUCAAAUUUCAAUCACCACAUAUAUCAAUUGUCAUUUAUAUUCGGUAAGACACUUAUUAGAACAGUGCAUCCCUUAUAGCAUUGAUGUACAUUUAUCAAGUAUAUAGACAAUAUUUUGGUCCAUUGACAUAAACAAUAUAAGCGAUAUGGUAUAUCAGUCUUGAUCGUGUUAUUCUUGAUUUAUGAACGUGAUUUGCAACUACAGCUUUUGUCACACGGCUCUGAACAGGUCAACAGUUUGCUCAUGCUGGUUAUGGAGUAACUGUUUCAUCAAGUUCGGGAUUUAUUUUCCAUUUAUUAAGAUGGCAAAUUGUUUAACUUAUGUCUAAGCCUAACUAUUGACAUACAAAUUCUAAUGAUUUAUUGAGAAAAACUGCGAACUCCAUUACUCUAUUAGACUUAUACAGAAACUUUGAAUAUACAAAUACAAAAAUAUUGACAGAAAAUUACUGUGUAUCGUUUCUUUUGAUUACUUGUAUACCAUUCUACCAGAAUUAAAUUUGAUUUAAUCAACUUUUUGGGUAAAAAGAGGGACGAAAGAUAACAAAGGGACAGUCAAACUCAUGAAUCUAAAAUAAACUGACAACGUCAUGGCUAAAAAUGAAAAAGACAAACAGACAAACAAUAGUACACAUGACACAACAUAGAAAUCUAAAGAAUAAACAACACGAACCCAACCAAAAACUAGGGGUGAUCUCAGGUGCUCCGGAAGGGUAAGCAGAUCCUGCUCCACAUGUGGCACCCGUUACUGUGGAUUAAUUACAAUUAAUCGGAUACUGUUUGUCGUGAUUCUUUAUGGUACAGGUAAACAAAUGAUUUAAAAAAUAUGUAAAGUAGUACAAAUGUUUGAUAGGCUUGUAUGCAGUCUUUUGUCACACAACGUUGAUCUGAUGCAUUAGACAUGUGUUUACUGAUUGUGUUAUAUAUGUUGUACUGGUAUAGUAUAGUUAGUUGCCUUUUGUUAGCUAUUAUUCGUAUUUCUUUGUCAAUUGUGUUCUCCUAUUUAUUUGUAUUGUAGUCCUGUAAUAUUGUGUUGUCAUUUUAAUGUUAUAUUGCACAUGGCCAUAUAAGAGGGAGGUUUGGCAUGCCACAAAACCAGGUUCAACCCACCAUUUUUUUCUUAAAAAGAAUGUCCUGUACCAAGUCAGGAAUAUGGUCAUUGUUAUAUUAUAGUUCGUUUCUGUGUGUGUUACUUUUUAACGUUGCUUUAAACUCGUUUCAAGUACGUACUUCCAUAGCCUGCUCUUUUGAUAUUAUUGUUUACCACAGUCCGAGAUAAAAGGAGAGGUGACGUACGUAAUUCAGUCGUGUGUGUUGCUGUAUAUAAUUUAUUUACUGUUUAUUAUUUUCUACAUAAAUAAAUGUGCUCAACAUUUGUCAUGUUUGGGCCUGGUAUAGUAAGCAAUCACAGAUUUUAGACAAAUGUUUUCCUAUAUUUCACCAAAACUAUACCCACUGUUAACCGAUAACUGUGAUCUUGGAUUAGUUCGAAUAUCCUACUCGAAAUCAAGCAGAAGAUCUAGUGUUAAUUUAUUUAUGUUUAACUAAUACUCUGAUUUUGCUUUUAUUAAAGGUAUUCCUGAUGGCAUAGGAAAGCCAUAUAUACAGUCCUUCGAUGGGUCUUUAUACUUGUUUAACAAUUUUACUAAGAGUAAUAAUAGUCAAGCAAAGGUAAUCAUUGUUAUUAUAGUGUAAGCGAUCAAUUGUUAUAAAACGUAUUUGUUUUUAUGAGUACAUUUUACAAAACAAAAAAACAACCAAUAUUUCUUUUUUAAAAUUAAAGAUACAGUUAUUAAAUGGCCAUCAAACCAUAAAUUGAAAGAAAAAAAACCAUGUGUUAAUCAAAAGCCGCGGAUCAGGGUAAAUACACAUCACUGGUUUUGUUAUUAGCUCUUGGUGCCAAAACAAAUUAAGUUAUAUUUUAUCGUCAAUUCGGAAAUUAACAACUAUAGGUCAUCGUACGGCCUUCAACAGUCAGCAAAGCCCAUAGCGCAUAGUCAGUUAUAAAAGCUACAUAUAAUACUGAUUAAUUUCUAAUCAGAAUAAAUUCAUGAAAGAAGAUUGAACUAUAUGUAUUGUUUUUGUCUAAAUGUUAUGAUUUAUAUAAAGUUUUAUACAUUAUUUAAGGAAUACUGUGCCAACAUUUGUUCAACACUCAUCGAAAUAAACAACCAAGAGGAAGACAAGUUCCUUUUAGAGACUAUGAAUAAGUUAGAAAUAGGUAAGCAUAUCUACUUUUAGUAUGUUCACCAAGAACCGAAACAAUUAUAACGUGCUUUUUGAUCAAUCUCCCAUAUAGAGUUAUCGGUCAUUGCUCUCUCUUAAGGAUCGACAAUUCUGCAGAGAUUGCUUUUCGAUAUUAAUUCGGUUAUGAGGGUGGUAAAGGACUAUUUUUGUACAACGUGUUUUGUCAUUUUUAUUUCACGUGUAGUCGUGAACAAGGUUCGCUACUCGUCGUGUUUCGUGCAAUCGGUAAAAAAAAUUAACGUGCAAAACAUUUGUAAUCGUGCGUUAAUCAUGAAAUGUCAAUUUUAAUUUGCGAUCUUCCUUAAAGAAGCCCCCCUCUUACGCUCGACUAUGCCUUCUGACAGAAAAAUUGGUUAACACAAUAUUAUUUCUAGUAUCUACUUAGUAUAAAACACUUACACGCAGUGAGCUUAAACAAAAUUGAAUCAUCCUCUUGAAAUAAGACAACAUGUUUAAGUAAGUUUACAAAUCAUGUGUACUAUUUUAUUAAUCCGUAAAUAAUCAUUUUGCUCACAUUUGUUUAUUUUGUGUAGCUUUAACCUUAACCUUGAAUGUGGAGACUUCAAAAUAGAUAGGAAUCGUCCAUUUUAUUUCUUUACCUCGGUUUUAGUUUGUAAACCGGAUUUGUUUUUUUUUUUCUCAAUCGAUUUAUAAAUUUCGAACAGCGGUAUACAACUGUUGCCUUUAUAUAUAGGUUAUCAUACAUCCAAGUAUUGAUAUAACGCGAGGCUUUUGGUUGAACAACCGGACACAACUAAGCUACACUUAUUUGGGCUAUUUAUUGUACUUUUUAACUUGCCCUCUUAGUAUGUUGUGACCUCAAUAUCAAUUAGGAUCUCCUUCGCUUUAUGUGUGACAAUUUAUUGAAGAACAGUUUCAAUCCAGAAUUUUUGCGUUAGCAUUCACAUACGAACAUGUCUGCUGGACGAUCUAAAGGCUUACUUUGUAGUAUGUAAUAUGAUACGGAAAGGCAACAUCGUCCUGCAAAUGGCAAUUUUUUUGGUAAUCCUGAUUCAUUCAUACAAUAUACUUUUAAAACAUAACUUGAUUGGAAACGUUUACUAUAAAACAAAUCGAAAUGAAAAGAUAUCAUAUCUUUUUUUGAAACAUCCCACUAUUUUUAACAUGAAUUGUAAUAUAAUAACUAUAUACCCGGUAAAUAGAUGAUACUUUUAUUCAAUUGUGUUCAUACAGAUUUUUUGUGGAUAGGAUUAGAGUCGGUUAAUGGUGGGAAUUACAGUUGGCCCUCGGAUAAUACAACACAGACAAACCAAUAUGAAAACUGGUCAGACCUAGUACAAGAAUUUUUUAUAGAUAACCCUCCAGCAGGAACUUGUGUACUGGCAUUCCCGUUUUAUAAGUUUUGGGUUCCAUACUUUGUAAAUACAUGCGAUACCACACUGGCUGACUUCGUCUGUGAAUUGAGGUGAAUAUUUUACCUUUUUUUACUUUAUUUGAUACUAUUAUUAAAAAUUGUGCAUAUCAAGCAAAGUAUAGAAACAAAUGAACUUGAAAAGUAGAUUAAACAUAAAGAAAGUAUGGGGGUUAAAUUUUAAAUAUCUGGAAUUUAAAAUUGAUAUCAUAAAUUAGCAGAGGAGUACUUAUGAUACAUAUUAAGCUAAAAUAUUAAUCAAUCAUGGAUCUCCUUUUUGAUAAAUUGGAUAUUUUUUUAAUGGCGGUAAUAUGCUGACUCGGACUUCACUUUAUAUUUGUUAUUGACAUUAUUUGAGCUUUAAACCGUAAGAAAAAAAGCUUAAACUUUGGUAAUGACCUUUUAUGAGUAGCUAGAGUCUGCUAUGAAAAUGUAAUUGGCAUUGGAAACAUUAACACUGUGUAUCGUAUGGGGCAGAUUUCAAUCAUAAACAAUAUAGUAAGUCUGAGAUAAGUUAAUAUAAAAUUGGUCUUGUUAUACACAAAAAUGAUUAAUAUUCUGAACAACGUAGCAAGCAUGCAAAUAAAUACACACGACUUCAGUUUUUAAAAAUUCUGCUGCAUUUUUCAUUACUGCGGUCAAAUUUUUUUUUUAGAAGGUCAAAUAUAAAACAUAAAAAAAAUCAUGCUGCAGAAAAAUUAUAAAAUUUUGACUCAUUUCAUAUUACUAAAUUUAGAAAUAAAUCUAUAAUCCUCAUUAACGAUUUUCUUUAUUAUAGGAUCAACUGAUGUCAAGAACGAAGCGGAAAACAGUGUAGUACAUGCGCUAGUUGUAAAAUUAAAAUAUAACAAAAUCCAUUAUGUUAUUGUUUUACAUCUC